AAAUUGAAGAGUUUGAUCAUGGCUCAGAUUGAACGCUGGCGGCAGGCCUAACACAUGCAAGUCGAGCGGUAGCACAGAGAGCUUGCUCUCGGGUGACGAGCGGCGGACGGGUGAGUAAUGUCUGGGAAACUGCCUGAUGGAGGGGGAUAACUACUGGAAACGGUAGCUAAUACCGCAUAACGUCGCAAGACCAAAGUGGGGGACCUUCGGGCCUCAUGCCAUCAGAUGUGCCCAGAUGGGAUUAGCUAGUAGGUGGGGUAAUGGCUCACCUAGGCGACGAUCCCUAGCUGGUCUGAGAGGAUGACCAGCCACACUGGAACUGAGACACGGUCCAGACUCCUACGGGAGGCAGCAGUGGGGAAUAUUGCACAAUGGGCGCAAGCCUGAUGCAGCCAUGCCGCGUGUAUGAAGAAGGCCUUCGGGUUGUAAAGUACUUUCAGCGAGGAGGAAGGCAUUAAGGUUAAUAACCUUAGUGAUUGACGUUACUCGCAGAAGAAGCACCGGCUAACUCCGUGCCAGCAGCCGCGGUAAUACGGAGGGUGCAAGCGUUAAUCGGAAUUACUGGGCGUAAAGCGCACGCAGGCGGUCUGUCAAGUCGGAUGUGAAAUCCCCGGGCUCAACCUGGGAACUGCAUUCGAAACUGGCAGGCUAGAGUCUUGUAGAGGGGGGAGAAUUCCAGGUGUAGCGGUGAAAUGCGUAGAGAUCUGGAGGAAUACCGGUGGCGAAGGCGGCCCCCUGGACAAAGACUGACGCUCAGGUGCGAAAGCGUGGGGAGCAAACAGGAUUAGAUACCCUGGUAGUCCACGCCGUAAACGAUGUCGACUUGGAGGUUGUGCCCUUGAGGCGUGGCUUCCGGAGCUAACGCGUUAAGUCGACCGCCUGGGGAGUACGGCCGCAAGGUUAAAACUCAAAUGAAUUGACGGGGGCCCGCACAAGCGGUGGAGCAUGUGGUUUAAUUCGAUGCAACGCGAAGAACCUUACCUACUCUUGACAUCCAGAGAACUUAGCAGAGAUGCUUUGGUGCCUUCGGGAACUCUGAGACAGGUGCUGCAUGGCUGUCGUCAGCUCGUGUUGUGAAAUGUUGGGUUAAGUCCCGCAACGAGCGCAACCCUUAUCCUUUGUUGCCAGCGAUUAGGUCGGGAACUCAAAGGAGACUGCCAGUGAUAAACUGGAGGAAGGUGGGGAUGACGUCAAGUCAUCAUGGCCCUUACGAGUAGGGCUACACACGUGCUACAAUGGCAUAUACAAAGAGAAGCGACCUCGCGAGAGCAAGCGGACCUCAUAAAGUAUGUCGUAGUCCGGAUUGGAGUCUGCAACUCGACUCCAUGAAGUCGGAAUCGCUAGUAAUCGUAGAUCAGAAUGCUACGGUGAAUACGUUCCCGGGCCUUGUACACACCGCCCGUCACACCAUGGGAGUGGGUUGCAAAAGAAGUAGGUAGCUUAACCUUCGGGAGGGCGCUUACCACUUUGUGAUUCAUGACUGGGGUGAAGUCGUAACAAGGUAACCGUAGGGGAACCUGCGGUUGGAUCACCUCCUUA
rnacentral:rRNA from 1 species